AGAACGAACGCUGGCGGCAGGCCUAACACAUGCAAGUCGAACGCGACCUUCGGGUCGAGUGGCGCACGGGUGAGUAACGCGUGGGAAUCUGCCCUGUGGUACGGAAUAACAUCGGGAAACUGGUGCUAAUACCGUAUAUCCCCUGAGGGGGAAAGAUUUAUCGCCAUGGGAGGAGCCCGCGUAGGAUUAGCUAGUUGGUGAGGUAACGGCUCACCAAGGCGACGAUCCUUAGCUGGUCUGAGAGGAUGAUCAGCCACACUGGGACUGAGAUACGGCCCAGACUCCUACGGGAGGCAGCAGUGGGGAAUAUUGGACAAUGGGGGAAACCCUGAUCCAGCCAUGCCGCGUGUGUGAUGAAGGCCUUCGGGUUGUAAGCACUUUAGUGGGACAAAAGCUACGGAUUAAUACUCUGUGGUCUUGAUUUAACCAAAGAAAAGCACCGGCUAACUCUGCGCCAGCAGCCGC
rnacentral:rRNA from 1 species